rnacentral:lncRNA from 1 species
UAGCGUGGCCGCCAGUAGCGUCGCUCCUGAUCCUGCGGCGGCAGCCGGCGGAAGCAAGACGGACCCCGUGGUGCCCGAUUCGGUGGUCUACGUAUGCAGCGUCAUCAUUGUCAUCAUGGUGGUGGGCGGAGUGAUCGGUCUGUCCAUUCUCAUGAAGAAGCGACUCGACGUCAACCAGAACGUCACAUCAGCGGCACCAGCAGGUCCGGGGGCGCCACCACCCAUAGCAAAACUAGUGUCGGUCGAGGACUCGGAGUCCAAUGACUUCAAGGUGUUCAAUGAUGAUGAUCCGUUCC